GCAAGUCGAACGCUGAAGCCUGGUGCUUGCACCGGGUGGAUGAGUGGCGAACGGGUGAGUAAUACGUGAGUGACCUGCCUUUGACUCUGGGAUAAGCCUGGGAAACUGGGUCUAAUACCGGAUGCGACUACUGCCCGCAUGGGCUGGUGGUGGAAAGGGUUAUGUACUGGUCUUAGAUGGGCUCACGGCCUAUCAGCUGGUUGGUGGGGUAAUGGCCUACCAAGGCGACGACGGGUAGCCGGCCUGAGAGGGUGACCGGCCACACUGGGACUGAGACACGGCCCAGACUCCUACGGGAGGCAGCAGUGGGGAAUAUUGCACAAUGGGCGCAAGCCUGAUGCAGCGACGCCGCGUGAGGGAUGACGGCCUUCGGGUUGUAAACCUCUUUCAGCAGGGAAGAAGCGGAAGUGACGGUACCUGCAGAAGAAGCGCCGGCUAACUACGUGCCAGCAGCCGCGGUAAUACGUAGGGCGCAAGCGUUGUCCGGAAUUAUUGGGCGUAAAGAGCUCGUAGGCGGCUUGUCGCGUCUGCUGUGAAAGCCCGGGGCUUAACUCCGGGUGUGCAGUGGGUACGGGCAGGCUAGAGUGCAGUAGGGGUAACUGGAAUUCCUGGUGUAGCGGUGAAAUGCGCAGAUAUCAGGAGGAACACCGAUGGCGAAGGCAGGUUACUGGGCUGUUACUGACGCUGAGGAGCGAAAGCAUGGGGAGCGAACAGGAUUAGAUACCCUGGUAGUCCAUGCCGUAAACGUUGGGCACUAGGUGUGGGGGACAUUCCACGUUUUCCGCGCCGUAGCUAACGCAUUAAGUGCCCCGCCUGGGGAGUACGGCCGCAAGGCUAAAACUCAAAGGAAUUGACGGGGGCCCGCACAAGCGGCGGAGCAUGCGGAUUAAUUCGAUGCAACGCGAAGAACCUUACCAAGGCUUGACAUACACCGGAUCGUUCCAGAGAUGGUUCUUCCCUUUUGGGCUGGUGUACAGGUGGUGCAUGGUUGUCGUCAGCUCGUGUCGUGAGAUGUUGGGUUAAGUCCCGCAACGAGCGCAACCCUCGUUCUAUGUUGCCAGCACGUGAUGGUGGGGACUCAUAGGAGACUGCCGGGGUCAACUCGGAGGAAAGGUGGGGAUGACGUCAAAUCAUCAUGCCCCUUAUGUCUUG
rnacentral:rRNA from 1 species